CAUUAUUUAUUUAUAGGGAGGGUCGCAAUUUGUCCCAUCGAGGGUCGGCAACACAAUGCUCUCAGCAUUGUCUUGUAGAUAAGAUGUUUCUUUAAGCACUACCUGAGACAUGACAAUAUAUAAAUUACAAUUCAAAAAGAUAUGUAUAUGUACAAAUGAGUGUACAUAAGCAAGCAUUCAUUUAUGCGGACAGGCAUAUAAGUAAGAAGCAUGCAAAAUUUAUGCGUAUGCAAAACAAAGGGUAGCCAAGGCCUAAGUCAGUAUAUAUGAUCUGAGAGAAAUGCAGAUAUGACUGAAAAGAAUGGAGACAGAAGGAAAUUUGCCCAAACAAUAUGCUUAGCCCUCGCUUCGUGGUCUGCACCUAACCAAUUCCACCAGACGCAUCUUUGUCAGACAUACUGCCCGCCGCCGCAAGGACGCCGACGAUGUUUUAAGGACGAGGAGGAGGAAACAAUAUUUUCAUCAUUACUUAAAAUUUGCAAUGAUAUUAUAUAUAAAUGACGAGGUUAAGGUUGAGGUUAAUAUGCUGCUGAGCUUCUCCUUAUUUUUUGUGCUCACAUUUCAUUUCAUUGUGAUGGGAUCUUUUGCCUAUAUAUGCAUGCUUAUACCAUGGAUGUUUGGUUAUGCAAUCCAGCCAUAAAAUGAAAAAAAUAAUUCAACCUUCUUCCCGAUUCCUGUCUUCUUCAUCAAAUAAUGAGGGACACCUAUGCAUAUUUCAUUAAUUUAAAUAUUUAUGUUAUUUAUUUAAUAAUUAUUUUUACAAGUAAUUUGAUAUCAUUUAACUACAAUUAUCCAUCAACAUAGUCUUGAAAAAUAUACGAAAAUUGGUAGUGAGUCCAACGAGUAUGCCUCAAAUAAAAUUAUUUUUCAUUUGAGUCGAGAAUUAAACUUUCUUGUUUUUGGUCGAAGAGAAUUAAACUUUCUAGUUGUAGCUCAGAAACCACCCACAAGAGAAAUGAGAGAGGAGAGGGAAGAGCGCAAAUGGGGAAGCCCUCUUUCUCACUCGGAUUGACAAUCUUCGUCUCCCUCUCUCUCACAGCCUCCUCCUACUCCAUCUCAUCCUCUUCUUCAUGUUCCCCAAUCUUUCUCAAACCAUCUUCACUAUCAACAUCUCCCAAAGCCACCCCUUCAGACCUGCUCUCUUUGCUGGGCUCCAAAUCCCAGUCUUCAACCAUUAACCCCCUUGUAGCCCAAGAGCUCACUUCUUGCUUCAAAUUCCUCGUACCCUUUACGCCAAAUGUCAACAAAUUGUGCCCACAAAAGUACCCCAAUAGAAAAGUCUUAAACUUGAAGCAAAAGGGUGAUUUAUGUCAACGGGAGGAGGAGGAUGAGCUUGUUUGGUGGCCUCCUCAGCCGGUUUUGGAGCUUGCUCGCCUUGCUGUUGACUCUGGUGGAGACCCAGCUGCUAUUCAACGUGCUUUGGAUCCCACGAUGAUCACUGUACCUGAUGUUGAAGGAUCAAAAGCGAACCGAUGUGAGCUUACUAGAACUCCAUAUGGGAGACGCUUCAUAAGUGAGGAGUUGAAUUCAUAUCUUGAAUUUUUAUUUGAACUUAUUCUAGCUCGGGGUCCCGCUUUUGGGUUGAAUGUGUCGUUGAGUCGCUAUGAUUUAUUCCAUGGCCACCUUUUUCUUGCCAUAGACACUGGAAGACUUGGUAUAUUAUUCCAUGCCAAAGAAUACCCUGCAUAUGAUAAAGAAGUAUUUCCAUACAAUAUGGGCUACUGUCAAGUAGGGUCUAAUGUGAGAUAUGAUGAUUCAAUGAACUUGCGAAAUAUCCUCUGGCUGGCUCCAUUGCCAAGCAAUUCAACUAAAGCUUGGGUAGCACCAGGUGUCCUUGUAGCGCUGGAUGCCCAUCCAGAAGGCAUCAUAUAUAGAGAUCUCAUACCUGAAUAUGUAAAUUUUGCUAGGACAAUAUAUGAAGACGAUCUUGGGGAAGUUGCAGUUGAUGUCAACUAUUUGGAUGUUGGGAAUGCAAAGUCGAAGUUCCAACUUUUUAUAUGCUGAGCUCUUUUCAAGGUUUGUACCUAUGCUUUCCCUUCAUCGCCUAGUCUAUUGCGCAACAGUGCCAAGUAACCAUUUAUUUAUCAUGGAUCAACCCCAAAUGCGAUACGAGCCAAAUACAAAGUCUCAAGUAGGCUGUCCAGGAUGAUUCCUUUGGUUUGAUUGUGGAAAGUAAGAUCCGAGAGUACACAAGAGAUGCGUUGGUUUGUUCUUGCUGCAGAUUUCGCUAGGCAUGCAAGCUGAAUUUGCCAGUGUCGGUGCAAAUGUGGUUGUGCUGUUUUACCUUUACUUCUGUUCCCAAGUGUGGAGCUCUGCAGAUGAACUCCCCAAUUCAUUGUUCCUAAAUCAUCAUUUCUUCCCCAUAAUUUAAUGGGGAUGUGAUUUGUAAAGAAUGUCUUGGUUACUAGCUUGUUAAUAAGAAAUCUUAGAUAAUUGGUUGAAACA